ACUGUGAGUCAAAGUAAACCUUUUUUUUUUUUCCUUAUAAGGUAAUUGUCUCAAGUAUUUGUCAUAGCAAUGGAACUCUGACUGAAACAAAUACUAUCAUUGUGGACUUUUUUUGCCCAAAGGAUUUCAACUCUGGUUCUAAAGCAUUGCUCAUAUUCUUUCAACAAGCAUCAACCUUUCAAAAAUUAUUUAUUUGGCUGAGAAUUUAGCUUAUCUAGCAUGUGCAAGGCCCUGGGUUCAAUCCCCAACUCAGCAAAAGUUUAAAAAUAAUAAUAAAUAUAUGUUAUUUGUUCAUUUGUUUUACUGUUUCCUGCCUUAAUGACACUACAAGUUGUUUGAGGUUCUUCUUGCAUUUCCUCUGCCCUUGCCCAACCCUCAACUACUUAUCUUUGAAAAACAUGCUUAAUAUGCAGGAGGCCCUGGGUUCAAUUCCUAGCAUAAAACAAAACAAAAACACUUCUUCUUGGAGUCCUGGUCCCAUUUAUUAGAAAAUGGUACUUGGUCACCAAUAUAAGACUGCUAGACAUAUUCAUUGUUCCCAGGAGUCAUCAUGUCUAGGUACUCUCAGCAAACAGAGGAAAUGCAGGAAAGUUAUUCCAGAAUUGCUUACCCACUAUCCUAUGAGAAAUGCCCAUUUUUCUGACUACAUGACCAAAUAUACACAUAGUGCUUUUUACCUUUAGACCUAUGGAAUACAGCCAAUGCUCUUUCCCUGGGUUACUGUGUUUUCUACCCCCUUCCCUCCAUUUAUAGUAGAAUGAGGUUGAUUUGUUAGUGUUUGGACUCCAUUUGGGUAUGUCCCACCUCACAUUCUAAUUGGUUCUGUUUAUUUGGGGGAAUGAGAACAUUACUAUGAUUUUAUAAGUCAGAACUACCAAAAACCAACCAACCAACCAACAAAGAUAUGCUCAGAGAAGUGUCACUUCUUAUCUCUGGUACCCUGUUCCCAUUUGCCCCUUCUUUCCACCUCUUCUCUACGUGCCCCACUGUAGGCCACAAUAUCUAUUUCUAUUGCUCGCUUGCUCUCUCUCCUUCUUUCAGUUUUCCUAUUUAGUGACCAACUUUAUCAUGAAAGAUGAUUCUAAAUAUAAACAUGCUGGGUAAAAGGCCACUUAGGGGGAAUUCAAUAAGCAUACUAAUUUAGAUCUCAGCAAGAGCACCUAAAUAGCAAACAUAAUGAUAUAUACUACAAAUCAAAUAUUCACAAUAUCUAUGUUAAUCUGAGAGGAAACAGAACUCUGUAUUCUAAUCUUGCUGUAAAGACUUUGGCUUCAUGAACUAUGUGAUCUUGUUAAAGGAUUAAAAUGAAUGCAACAUUUCAUUGGUAUGUACUUAAAACUAAAUAAACAACAUGCCUAUGACUGCAAACAAAUGAAUUCAGUGAAACAAGACAGACAGCAUGGACUUGUCGAUGUCAUUUUUUUUUUUUGACGCCUCUAAUCCAGGGAAAGGCAGAUAGUAAGAUGAGUAAACGGGCUUUGUAUAUGUGAACUCCCAAGGGGUUCAGUCUGUGCUGAGUAGUGUUAAGAAACUCAGAAACUGGGGCAUCUGCAGACCUUGCAAGUGUCUAAAGGAGAUCUCUCCCUUCCAUUGUCUCCUCUAUGUCCUGCUUCUCUGAAAUUCCACUAAUACUUUAGCAUUUGAGACCCUCAAGUCGGGAAGGGAGAAGAUGGAGAAGAAAAUUAUUUCUCAGAUUCUUUUGAAGAGUCCCCUUCAACCACUGUCCUGGUUGAGUCUUCAUCAGCUGUCACUGAACCAUUCACAAAUGACAAAAAAGGGCUUUCCAUGGAAUCCCAUCCAGAGACAUUUUACCCCAGGGGCCACAGAUGUGCCCUCUCUCUUCAUGGAAGGCUGUCUGAGCCAAAUAUGCCAGCAGUUAAACAGCCACAAUCACACCACAAAUAUUUGUUUCUUGGGACACAAAAUGGGGAGUGGAUUACCAAACUGGGUCUAGGAUUAUUAAGACCAGAUUGAAGACUGCCGUGGCCAUGCUUGGGUAAAUAUCACUGGAGUACAAUAGUGAGAAGAUUGGGGUGUCAUCAGCUGCCCUUCAGAACUGACACACAUGAUUUAACCACAAGCAGUACUUCAUGAAGUCUUAAACUGUAACACGAAGAGAGGUCACCAAUCUCUUUAGUUUUUGAAAUAAGCAGACUUGUAUAUAUUUUUACGACCUCUUUAUUUAUUGCAACAAGGAUAGCACACAAUAGAUAUGAAUUUUUGAACUUCAUUUCAAUAAAACAUUCUUUAAUUUUUCUUAUUUUUGUUUUCUUUUUUUAUAUAUUUUUGUUUGUUUGUUUGUUUUUCAACAGGGAUUGAACCCAGUGAGCCAUAUCCCCAGUGCCUUUUUACAUUUUAUUUAGAGAUAGGACCUUAAUUGCUGAGGCUGGCUUUGAACUCGUGACUCUCCUGCCUCAGCCUCCCAAGCUGCUGGGAGUACAGGUGUGUGCCACUGGCCAUUGCACCCAGCCAUGCUUUCAUUUUAUAUAUGUAUUCUUUGAGAUGAGGUCUCGCAAUGUUGCAUUAUUCGCAUCAAAAUUGUAGAAUUGUGAUCUUCCUGCUGAGCCUCCAGGGUAGCUGGGAAUACAGAUUACACCAUGCCUGCCUGGCUCAAAACUUACUACUUUUAAAUAUAAGAAGGGAAACCAAAAGCAACAUUGCACAUGAAGAAAUCCUACCAAGCAGGGCAUGGUGGCACAUACUUAUAAUCUCAGCAUUUUGAAAGGCUGAGGCAAGAGGAUCACAAGUCUGAAGCCAACCCAGGCAACUUAGUGAGGCCCUAAGCAACUUGGGGAGACCCUGUCUCUCAAAAUAAAAAAUGAAAAUGGCUGGGAUGAAGCUCAGUAGUAAGGCAUCCCUGAGUUCAAUCCCCAGAACAAACAAACAAAUAAAAAAAACCCUAAAAAUCCUACUAGAAAAGUUUACUUCAGAAAAGACACAUGAAAAUGUUUACACAACCUUCCAACAUGAAUUUUCAAAAGAACUGAAGACCAUUUAUAAACAAUAAUAGUUAUGAUGGAAAUAUGAAUUCAGAAAUAUUAGAAUUCGGAGAUGAGAUGGCCAGACAACAGGAGUAACAGGACAUACAUAAUUCAUGAUGAGAAUAGAAGAAAAACAGAUAAGACAUGCUGGGCAUGGUAGUGCAUGCCUGUAAUCUCAGAGAUUCAGGAGGCAGAAGCAGGAGGGUGGCAAAUUCAAGUUCAGCCUCAGAAAUCUACUGAGACUCUCUCUUAAAAUACAAAUAAAAAGGGCUGGAAAUGUAGAGCAUUCCCAAGUUCAGUACCACAAAAAAAAAAAAAAAAGAGAGAGAGAGAGAUGAAGGGAGGAAGGAAGGGAAGGAGGGAGGGAGGGAGGGAGGAAGAACUUUUUCAGAUAAAAAGCAUAAGAAAGUGGGUAACACAGUAGGUAUUUAAGGAAAAAAAUUAAAAUCAAAGAAAAAAGGAAUCAUUAAGGAAAUGCUACGUGUUUGGGAGAAAAUGCUACAUAUGCAAACAAAGUAGGAAAGAUCCCCCUACCCAUACUUGGAAUUCCCAAAGAAGAAAGCCUGGCAAUGGCACAUAGUUAAUAUUUUAAAAGAGAGUUAAGUGCAUAUAUGAAAAGACGCUCAGUGUCAUUCAUCAUCAGAGAAAUGCAAAUUAAAACCACAAGGAGAUAGCAUCUCACAUCUUCCACUUAAAAUAACGGGUUUUCUUUUUUAAAAUCAAGAGAAUAAGUGUUGGUAAGAAUAGGAAGAAAUGGGAACCCUUGAACACCGUGGCGUAAUGUACUGCCAUUAUGAAAAAUACUAUGGGAAUCCUUAAAAUAUUAAAACUAGAACUACUACUUGAAACUGCUGAACUAUAUGUGACCAGAUGAUGUUACUCAGUUCUCCACUUUCCAAAAGAAAGAUUUCAGUUGAGACACAGAGAGAAGAGGCAUAAAGGUCUUAUUUAGUGAAAUGAAAGUAUGCUUCAGAGAAUGUGUAGCAGGCUGUGCCAAGAGAGCAGAACGUGCCAAGCUCUUGUUUCUUCAUCCUGGGCUUUUAUGGCCUACUUGGCAUCUUCCCACCUUGUGGAUUAUGCAUUUGGGGAGGUUACAGCCAUUUCCCGCCUCAGUUAAGUGCACCUCUGUCAAUUUCACCAUUUGGCAAUUUCCCCAGCAUAGACUGUAUCCAUUUUCUCCAGGGGACAGGGAGCUGUCUGACCACAGGAAAGCAGUCCUGGGAAGUGUAAUGGCCAGUUGGGUGCCACCCAAGGACACAGCCUGAACUUCCUUUCCCUACCUUCUUUGCUCUAGCUAGUGCCUACUCUAACCCUCCUGCACCAGAAGGCAGAGUUCCAACCCUCCCAAGACUCAAGAAUAGAACUGUGAGCCAGAGAUUUCUAACCCAGACAGGGAUAAAGUAGAAAAGCUAUAGAUUGUCAAGAACAAAAUUACAACAACUCAUCUUAAUGAUCUGAAUUGGCUUUAUUGUCUCUUCUAGAAUAGAGUAACACUAUUUCAUAAAAUAUGAAUGCUCUAAUGAGCUGAGGACUUGAGUUUUCGUUUUAUAUACAGAAAAGGACUUGAAGAAAGAAACAAAGAGCAAAAACCAGAUUGGCCAUUUCAAAGUUAACUUUCCUUGCUAGGAUUGAAAAGGACAUAGAACAAUACAAAAAUAAUUGGUUAACAUCAGAUUAUUUCAGGUUGCCUUUUUGUGGAAGGGUUAAGGCUGAGGCACCUUCAUCAUCAUGCCAAUUGAAACUGGCCUCUUUGGUAAUUUGGCAGUCUCUCUAAUCCUGAUUUCUGGGCAGGUCAGACAAUCAACUGAGUGUCAGCUUGGUGACUUGGAACUUCAGCAUGAAGUUUCCUGUCACAGGAAAGCAGGGAGCUGAAACUCCAAACCUUGGAUCUUGGGUUUUGACAGAAGAAACUUUAAAGUCAGACACCAAAAGCCAUGGCAGAGAACUUUAUUAUCAGUGAAAGUAAAGAGAAAAUGAGGUGAAAAGAAAGUAAAAGCCGAAUGAGUUUCAACCAGAGACAGAGAGAGAGAGAGAGAGAGAGAGAGAGAGAGAGCCAUCCCAGAGCAGAGAACCAGAAAAGAGCCAAUGCUGUCUCCAAAUUUAGUACUGUUUUAUGGUUGGCUUGAAAAUUGGGGUCCUCCUUCAGCAACUUGCUCCAAUCAAGUGCUUCAACUCCGUCCUAUGGGGUAGUAGAGUAUUUGAUUUAGUUGGUCCUCUCCAGAACUGUCAUGGUGGCCAUCCUAUUUAGGAGGGCUUCAUCUACAAGUCAAUCCCAUGUCAAUGUGGACACUUCCACCUCUUCUCCUCUUACCCAUUCAUGCACUGAAACUCUGGAGGAGCUUCUUCCAGUCCCUCCCACAUACAGGGAGGCCCCUCGCUCCAGGCAACAUACACUUGGUCCACAGAUGGCUCCUCCUUCCUUCAGGAGGGAGUUCCUCCUGCAGGGUAUGCUGUAGUCUCUCCAACCUCAGUUGUGGAAGCAGCUCCCCUACCCAAUAAUACAUGCAAUCAGCAGGCUGAACUUGUUGCCCCCAUCAGAGCCUUCACUUUGGCAAAGGGAGCCUCCCUCAGUGUCUACACUGACUCUAAAUACACUUUCCACACACUUCUCUCCCACUCUGCUAUUUGGAAGGAGCAUGGAUUCCUUACCACCAAGGGAACUUCAAUUACUAAUGCCCCCUUCAUCUCCAAUCUCCUUCAGGUCUCAAAGCUUCCCACUGCUAUUGGAACUGAAGGAUGGCAGCUAAAUAACCCCCUUCUCCACUGGACACUUCCUUUCCUGACCUCUCCUUGUCAUAGGCCUUUGGCUAUUGCUUAACCCAUGCAUCAUUAAAGUUAUUCAAGACCAGAUUCAAAGGAUCUCUAACCAAACCAUGAACCAGCUUCUGCUACAGGACUUCCAACCCCUCACCAAAUUUGGGGCAUCCAGAGUCAGCAUCACUGGGUCCUAACCAUUGCCUCAAUAACACGUUGAGCCCCUAACAAGGGUGCAGACACCUCCCCUUCCAAGCAGGAAGAAGAUGCAGAAGAUCUAUCUACCCUCAUGUCCCUUAAGGGGCCCAAUAACAAACAAAAAAAAGAGGGAAUGCAAGGUCCUUGCUUAGCAUCUUGAUGGCCAUUUUUUUUAAAAGGUUUUGCUUUUCCACUCAAGGGCCUUUCUGAGAAAGGCUCCCCACUUCCUCAUACCACCCCCACCCUUAACUGCCCACAUAAGAACCCACCAGCCUCUAAUCCCUGAGCUUCCCCCAUAAAAGUCUCAAACCCAAGCCCAUGUUGCACUCUCCAUCUACGGAGACAAAUUUGUCAGUUCUGACAAAUAAACUCUCCUAUGUAUAUCUGCCUGGCCCUUCUCCAAGUUCCUCACUUUCCUUUCAACUGUCACCAUUUGAUUUCUUAAGAAAGUUUAAAGAAAGACCCUAAAGUCAUAUAAACAACACUUUAUGACCUUACCAUAUAUUUCACUGCUCUUGCUAGCCCCUACCUAACAACUCCAUUUUGAUCUUCAGCCCAGUCUACGUAGGAGCUUAGUUCAAAACAAUGGCCUCUUCUACUUUAUUUAACAAGACCAGAGUAUCACCCAAACAUCUAAGAGCUCAGAAUACUGUUCACAUAAUCUCUUCUUUUUACAUUUUAAAAUUUUUGCCUUUUUAAAAAUAGAAAAUGUCAUGCAUAAAAUAGAAUAUUAUACACCCUUGGACUGAGUAGUGGGUCGAUAGUUUUAUUAG
rnacentral:lncRNA from 1 species